AUGGCAACCCUUCGAGUCGACGAAAUUCAUAAAAUUCUCCGCGAACGUAUUGAACAAUAUAAUAGGAAAGUAGGGAUUGAGAAUAUAGGUUGCGUAGUUCAAGUGGGGGAUGGGAUUGCUCGUAUUAUAGGUCUUGGUGAAAUAAUGUCAGGUGAAUUAGUCGAAUUUGCAGAAGGUACUAGGGGUAUUGCUCUGAAUUUGGAAUCCAAAAAUGUUGGGAUUGUAUUAAUGGGCGAUGGGUUGAUGAUACAAGAGGGAAGUUUUGUAAAAGCAACAGGAAGAAUUGCUCAGAUACCCGUGAGUGAGGCUUACUUGGGUCGUGUUGUAAAUGCUCUGGCUAAACCUAUUGAUGGGAAAGGCGAAAUUAUAGCUUCCGAAUCUUGCUUAAUUGAAUCUCCUGCUCCAUGUAUAAUUUCCAGGCGUUCCAUAUACGAACCUCUUCAAACAGGGCUUAUUGCUAUCGAUUCGAUGAUCCCUAUAGGGCGCGGUCAGCGAGAGUUAAUUAUUGGGGACAGAGAGACUGGCAAAACAGCAGUAGCCACAGAUACAAUUCUCAAUCAAAAAGGGCAAGGUGUAAUAUGUGUUUAUGUAGCUAUCGGUCAAAGAGCAUCCUCCGUAGCUCAAGUAGUAACUACUUUCCAUGAGGAGGGGGCUAUGGAAUACACUAUUGUAGUAGCUGAAAUGGCGGAUUCACCUGCUACAUUACAAUACCUCGCUCCUUAUACGGGAGCAGCCCUGGCUGAGUAUUUUAUGUACCGCGAACGACAUACUUUAAUAAUUUAUGAUGAUCUCUCCAAACAGGCACAAGCUUAUCGCCAAAUGUCCCUUCUAUUAAGAAGACCUCCCGGCCGUGAGGCUUAUCCAGGGGAUGUUUUUUAUUUGCAUUCACGCCUUUUAGAAAGAGCUGCUAAAUUAAAUUCUCUUUUAGGCGAAGGAAGUAUGACCACUUUACCAAUAGUUGAGACUCAAUCUGGAGACGUUUCCGCCUAUAUUCCUACUAAUGUAAUCUCCAUUACAAAUGGACAAAUAUUCUUAUCUGCGGAUCUAUUCAAUGCCGGAAUUCGACCCGCUAUUAAUGUGGGUAUUUCUGUUUCCAGAGUAGGAUCCGCGGCUCAAAUUAAAGCCAUGAAACAAGUAGCUGGCAAAUCAAAAUUGGAACUAGCGUAA
rnacentral:rRNA from 1 species